rnacentral:lncRNA from 1 species
CAGAGUAUUCCAGUUGUAGUCCCGAACGACAAAACUGAAAGUAAAACUCCAAGCAUUACAAACAAUAAUGCUGCUCACUUUUCAGAAGUUGAGGAAAACCCUGAAGAACCUGCAGUAAAAGAAAAAACUGAAAAACCAGUUCUUGAAGAGAAACCUGAAGAACCAACAGUUGAAGAGAAAUCUGAAGAACCAGUUGAGGAGAAACCUGAAGAACCAACAGCUGAAGAGAAACCUGAAGAACCAGCAACUAAAGAAAAACAAGUGCUAGUAGGGGAGGAAACAGCUGAAGAACUAGCGCUUGAAGAGAAACCUGAAGAACUAACGAUUGAACAGACAGAUGAAGAACUAGUUGUUGAAGAUAAAACUGAAAAACCACCAAAUAAAGAGGAGAGACCUGAAACGGUAACUCUCCUUUAGCAGUGUCACAGAGUUUAUCCAUCCUAUUAGUUCUAUAUGUGCAACGAAUUCAUAUCUGUUUAUCUAUUGAAAUACUAAGUGAAAAUUCAAAUUUUCUUGCAGAAUUUGCCCAUUGCAGACUCAAAGGACCAGACUGACAAUGCAAUUCCAUGCGAUACCAACAAUGAUAUUGCUGACUAUGCAACAGUUGAGGAAAAACCUGAAGAAACAGUAGUUGAAGAAAAACAUGAAGAACCUGCAAUUGAAAAGAAAUUUGAAGAAUCAACAGUUAUGGAGAAACCUGAAGAACCAGCAGUGGAAGAAAAACCUGAAGAACCAACAGUUAAAGAGGAACCUGAAAAAUCAGUGAUGGAAGAGAAACCUGAAGAACCAAUUGUUGAGGAGAAACUUGAAGAACCAACUGUUGAAGAGAAACCUGAAAAAUCACUGAUUGAAGAAACACCUGAAGAACCAAUAUGGGAAGAAACACCUAAAGAACUAGCAUUUGAAGAGAAACCAGAAGAACCAGCAGUUGAAGAGGAGAAACCUGAAAAGGUAACUCUUUUGGAAGAGGUGAGUAUCAAGCAUUAGCACAUAGUUUAUCCAUCAUGUUAUUUCUGUAUGUGCAUCGAUUCACAUCUGCUUAUCUAUUGAAAGUCUAAAUGAGACUUUAAAUUCUUCUUGCAGAAUAUACCAGCUGUAGAUUUCAACGACAAGACUGACCGUGAAAUUCCAUGCGAUACCAACAAUGAUAUUGCUGACUAUGCAACAGUUGAGGAAAAACCUGAAGAACCGGUAGUUGAAGAAAAACAUGAAGAACCUGCAAUUGAAAAGAAAUUUGAAGAAUCAACGGUUAUGGAGAAACCUGAAAAACCAGUGGUUAAGGUACAACCUGAAGAACCAGCAGUGGAAGAAAAAGUUGAAGAACCAACAGUUAAUGAGGAACCUGAAAAAUCAGCGAUGGAAGAGAACCCUGAAGAAUCAAUUGUUGAGGAGAAACUUGAAGAACCAACUGUUGAAGAGAAACCUGAAAAAUCACUGAUUGAAGAAACACCUGAAGAACCAAUAUGGAAAGAAACACCUAAAGAACUAGCAUUUGAAGAGCAACCAGAAGAACCAGCAGUUGAAGAGGAGAAACCUGAAAAGGUAUCUCUUUUGGAAGAGGUGAGUAUCAAGCAUUAUCACAUAGUUUAUCCAUCCUGUUAUUUCUGUAUGUGCGACGAUUCACAUCUGCUUAUCUAUUGAAAGACUAAAUGAGACUUUAAAUUCUUCUUGCAGAAUAUGCCAGCUGUAGAUUUCAACGACAAGACUGACUGUGAAAUUCCAUGCAAUACCAACAAUGAUGUUGCUGAAUAUGUAGCAAUUGAGGAAAACCUUGAAGAACCAGCAGUUGAAGAAAAACAUGAAGAACCAACAGUUGAGGAGAAACCUGAAGAACUAGCAGUUGAAGAGAAACCCGAAAAACCAACAAUUGAGGAGAAACAUGAAGAACCAAUAGUUGAGAAGAAACCUGAAGAACCAGUAGUUGAGGAGAAACCAGAAGAACCACUAAUUGAAGAGGAGAAAUCUGAAAGGGUAACUUUCCUAGAAAAGGUGAGGAUCAAGCAUUGUCAAAAGGUUUAUCCAUCUUAUUAGUUGUGUAUGUGCGACGAUUCACAUCUGCUUACUUAUUGAAAGACUAAGUGAAACUUCAAAAUUCUUGCAGAGUAUGCUAGUUGUAGACUCGAACGACAAGACUGACAGUGAAAUUCCAUGCAAUACCAACAAAGAUGCUGCCCACUUUCCCGAAGUUGAGGCAAACCCUGAAGAACCAGCAGUUGAAGGAAAACCUAAAGAACCCGUUGAUGAAGAGAAACCAGAUGUACCAGUGGUUGAGAAACCUGAAAAACAAAUGGUUGAGGAGAAACUUGAAGAACCAAUGAUUGAGGAGAAAUCUGACGAACUAGUCGAGGAGAAAUCUCAACAACCAGCGGCUGAAAAGAAACCUGAAGAACCAGCAGCUAAAGAAUCACUUAAAGAGCUAGCAGGGGAGGAAACAACUGAAGAACUAGCACUUGAAGAGAAACUUAGAGAACCAACAGUUGAAGAACUAGUUCUUGAAGAUAAACCUGAAAACCCAGAAAAUGAAGAGGAUAAACUUGAAACAGUAACUCUCCAGGAAAA